AGACUCCUACGGGAGGCAGCAGUAAGGAAUAUUGGUCAAUGGGCGGAAGCCUGAACCAGCCAUGCCGCGUGCAGGAAGACGGCCCUACGGGUUGUAAACUGCUUUUGUACGGGAAUAAACCUCGUUACGUGUACCGAGCUGAAUGUACUGUAAGAAUAAGGAUCGGCUAACUCCGUGCCAGCAGCCGCGGUAAUACGGAGGAUCCAAGCGUUAUCCGGAUUUAUUGGGUUUAAAGGGUGCGUAGGUGGCUUGUUAAGUCAGGGGUGAAAGACGGUAGCUUAACUAUCGCAGUGCCUUUGAUACUGAUGGGCUUGAAUGAACUAGAGGUAGGCGGAAUGUGACAAGUAGCGGUGAAAUGCAUAGAUAUGUCACAGAACACCAAUUGCGAAGGCAGCUUACUAUGGUUUUAUUGACACUGAGGCACGAAAGCGUGGGGAUCAAACAGGAUUAGAUACCCUGGUAGUCCACGCCCUAAACGAUGAAUACUCGAUGUUGGCGAUAUACGGUCAGCGUCUAAGCGAAAGCGUUAAGUAUUCCACCUGGGGAGUACGCCCGCAAGGGUG
rnacentral:rRNA from 1 species